rfam:Anolis carolinensis unplaced genomic scaffold chrTn0114, whole genome shotgun sequence.
AUCUCCCACUUCACUUUGCCAAUUAGACAGCUGUUGUCUCCAUUGGCCAUUCAGGUGGGGUAGAAAGAAUAUCCUUUUAAAACCCAGCCAGACUAUAUUUAACUGGUUUGGAUCCUGUCAGAGGAAACAGGC